UGGGGAUAUAGGUCAGUUGGUAGAGUGCUUGCCUUGCAUGCACAAGACCCUGGGUUCAAUCCCCAGUUCCACAA
rnacentral:tRNA from 1 species